CUCAGAUUGAACGCUGGCGGCAUGCCUUACACAUGCAAGUCGAACGGUAACGGGCCUUCGGGUGCCGACGAGUGGCGAACGGGUGAGUAAUGUAUCGGAACGUACCUUUCAGUGGGGGAUAACGUAGCGAAAGUUACGCUAAUACCGCAUAUUCUGUGAGCAGGAAAGCAGGGGAUCGCAAGACCUUGCGCUGAUUGAGCGGCCGAUAUCAGAUUAGCUAGUUGGUGAGGUAAAGGCUCACCAAGGCGACGAUCUGUAGCGGGUCUGAGAGGAUGAUCCGCCACACUGGAACUGAGACACGGUCCAGACUCCUACGGGAGGCAGCAGUGGGGAAUUUUGGACAAUGGGGGCAACCCUGAUCCGGCCAUGCCGCGUGAGUGAAGAAGGCCUUCGGGUUGUAAAGCUCUUUCGGCCGGGAAGAAAUCGUAUGGGCUAAUACCCUGUGCGGAUGACGGUACCGGCAUAAGAAGCACCGGCUAACUACGUG
rnacentral:rRNA from 1 species